ACCGUUGUUAUGACCCUAAACUAUUGUUAGACUAAUGCGGGGAUAAUGAAUGCACCGGUUAUUUCGUUCUAGAUGGGAGAGGAAAGGAUUAUUCUUUUCUACUGAUUUAACAUUCAGUUGGUUACUAGGUCCCUUUGGGAGGACUCUCAAUAACUUCAGCUCUGCACUAUAGCGUACGAGGAGCUAGAGCUGGUGAAGCCAAAAAUUCUAGUUUCACGGGAUCCACGUUGGUUUGGGAAAGAGAGAGAAAAAGCUUCAUACUAUAAUGCCCUGAAAAUAGUGGAUGUAUGCACCAAAUGCAUUUUUAUAGUAACCUGUAUUCU
rnacentral:lncRNA from 1 species